AGUGAACGCUGGCGGUAGGCCUAACACAUGCAAGUCGAACGGCAGCACAGUAAGAGCUUGCUCCUACGGGUGGCGAGUGGCGGACGGGUGAGGAAUACAUCGGAAUCUACUUUUUCGUGGGGGAUAACGUAGGGAAACUUACGCUAAUACCGCAUACGACCUACGGGUGAAAGCAGGGGAUCUUCGGACCUUGCGCGAUUGAAUGAGCCGAUGUCGGAUUAGCUAGUUGGCGGGGUAAAGACCCACCAAGGCGACGAUCCGUAGCUGGUCUGAGAGGAUGAUCAGCCACACUGGAACUGAGACACGGUCCAGACUCCUACGGGAGGCAGCAGUGGGGAAUAUUGGACAAUGGGCGCAAGCCUGAUCCAGCCAUACCGCGUGGGUGAAGAAGGCCUUCGGGUUGUAAAGCCCUUUUGUUGGGAAAGAAAAGCAGCAGGUUAAUACCCCGCUGUUCUGACGGUACCCAAAGAAUAAGCACCGGCUAACUUCGUG
rnacentral:rRNA from 1 species